GUUAAGCGACUAAGCGUACACGGUGGAUGCCCUGGCAGUCAGAGGCGAUGAAGGACGUGCUAAUCUGCGAUAAGCGUCGGUAAGGUGAUAUGAACCGUUAUAACCGGCGAUUUCCGAAUGGGGAAACCCAGUGUGAUCCGUCACACUAUCAUUAACUGAAUCCAUAGGUUAAUGAGGCGAACCGGGGGAACUGAAACAUCUAAGUACCCCGAGGAAAAGAAAUCAACCGAGAUUCCCCCAGUAGCGGCGAGCGAACGGGGAGGAGCCCAGAGCCUGAAUCAGUAUGUGUGUUAGUGGAAGCGUCUGGAAAGGCGUGCGAUACAGGGUGACAGCCCCGUACACAAAAAUGCACAUGCUGUGAGCUCGAUGAGUAGGGCGGGACACGUGGUAUCCUGUCUGAAUAUGGGGGGACCAUCCUCCAAGGCUAAAUACUCCUGACUGACCGAUAGUGAACCAGUACCGUGAGGGAAAGGCGAAAAGAACCCCGGCGAGGGGAGUGAAAAAGAACCUGAAACCGUGUACGUACAAGCAGUGGGAGCCUCUUUAAUGGGGUGACUGCGUACCUUUUGUAUAAUGGGUCAGCGACUUAUAUUCUGUAGCAAGGUUAACCGAAUAGGGGAGCCGAAGGGAAACCGAGUCUUAACUGGGCGUUAAGUUGCAGGGUAUAGACCCGAAACCCGGUGAUCUAGCCAUGGGCAGGUUGAAGGUUGGGUAACACUAACUGGAGGACCGAACCGACUAAUGUUGAAAAAUUAGCGGAUGACUUGUGGCUGGGGGUGAAAGGCCAAUCAAACCGGGAGAUAGCUGGUUCUCCCCGAAAGCUAUUUAGGUAGCGCCUCGUGAAUUCAUCUCCGGGGGUAGAGCACUGUUUCGGCAAGGGGGUCAUCCCGACUUACCAACCCGAUGCAAACUGCGAAUACCGGAGAAUGUUAUCACGGGAGACACACGGCGGGUGCUAACGUCCGUCGUGAAGAGGGAAACAACCCAGACCGCCAGCUAAGGUCCCAAAGUCAUGGUUAAGUGGGAAACGAUGUGGGAAGGCCCAGACAGCCAGGAUGUUGGCUUAGAAGCAGCCAUCAUUUAAAGAAAGCGUAAUAGCUCACUGGUCGAGUCGGCCUGCGCGGAAGAUGUAACGGGGCUAAACCAUGCACCGAAGCUGCGGCAGCGACACUAUGUGUUGUUGGGUAGGGGAGCGUUCUGUAAGCCGUUGAAGGUGUGCUGUGAGGCAUGCUGGAGGUAUCAGAAGUGCGAAUGCUGACAUAAGUAACGAUAAAGCGGGUGAAAAGCCCGCUCGCCGGAAGACCAAGGGUUCCUGUCCAACGUUAAUCGGGGCAGGGUGAGUCGACCCCUAAGGCGAGGCCGAAAGGCGUAGUCGAUGGGAAACAGGUUAAUAUUCCUGUACUUGGUGUUACUGCGAAGGGGGGACGGAGAAGGCUAUGUUGGCCGGGCGACGGUUGUCCCGGUUUAAGCGUGUAGGCUGAUUUUCCAGGCAAAUCCGGAGAAUCAAGGCUGAGGCGUGAUGACGAGGCACUACGGUGCUGAAGCAACAAAUGCCCUGCUUCCAGGAAAAGCCUCUAAGCAUCAGGUAACAUCAAAUCGUACCCCAAACCGACACAGGUGGUCAGGUAGAGAAUACCAAGGCGCUUGAGAGAACUCGGGUGAAGGAACUAGGCAAAAUGGUGCCGUAACUUCGGGAGAAGGCACGCUGAUAUGUAGGUGAAGCGACUUGCUCGUGGAGCUGAAAUCAGUCGAAGAUACCAGCUGGCUGCAACUGUUUAUUAAAAACACAGCACUGUGCAAACACGAAAGUGGACGUAUACGGUGUGACGCCUGCCCGGUGCCGGAAGGUUAAUUGAUGGGGUCAGCCGCAAGGCGAAGCUCUUGAUCGAAGCCCCGGUAAACGGCGGCCGUAACUAUAACGGUCCUAAGGUAGCGAAAUUCCUUGUCGGGUAAGUUCCGACCUGCACGAAUGGCGUAAUGAUGGCCAGGCUGUCUCCACCCGAGACUCAGUGAAAUUGAACUCGCUGUGAAGAUGCAGUGUACCCGCGGCAAGACGGAAAGACCCCGUGAACCUUUACUAUAGCUUGACACUGAACAUUGAGCCUUGAUGUGUAGGAUAGGUGGGAGGCUUUGAAGUGUGGACGCCAGUCUGCAUGGAGCCGACCUUGAAAUACCACCCUUUAAUGUUUGAUGUUCUAACGUGGACCCGUGAUCCGGGUUGCGGACAGUGUCUGGUGGGUAGUUUGACUGGGGCGGUCUCCUCCUAAAGAGUAACGGAGGAGCACGAAGGUUGGCUAAUCCUGGUCGGACAUCAGGAGGUUAGUGCAAUGGCAUAAGCCAGCUUGACUGCGAGCGUGACGGCGCGAGCAGGUGCGAAAGCAGGUCAUAGUGAUCCGGUGGUUCUGAAUGGAAGGGCCAUCGCUCAACGGAUAAAAGGUACUCCGGGGAUAACAGGCUGAUACCGCCCAAGAGUUCAUAUCGACGGCGGUGUUUGGCACCUCGAUGUCGGCUCAUCACAUCCUGGGGCUGAAGUAGGUCCCAAGGGUAUGGCUGUUCGCCAUUUAAAGUGGUACGCGAGCUGGGUUUAGAACGUCGUGAGACAGUUCGGUCCCUAUCUGCCGUGGGCGCUGGAGAACUGAGGGGGGCUGCUCCUAGUACGAGAGGACCGGAGUGGACGCAUCACUGGUGUUCGGGUUGUCAUGCCAAUGGCACUGCCCGGUAGCUAAAUGCGGAAGAGAUAAGUGCUGAAAGCAUCUAAGCACGAAACUUGCCCCGAGAUGAGUUCUCCCUGAGACUUUAAGUCUCCUGAAGGAACGUUGAAGACGACGACGUUGAUAGGCCGGGUGUGUAAGCGCAGCGAUGCGUUGAGCUAACCGGUACUAAUGAACCGUGAGGCUUAACC
rnacentral:rRNA from 1 species